CGGGGUGCACCAGGCGCGAAAACUUUACAAUGCGGGAAACCGUGAUAAGGGGACACCGAGUGCCAGCAUCAUAUGCUGGCUGUCCAGGUGUGUAAAAUACACCUGUUAGCAAGGGCCGGGCAAGACCGGUGCCAGCCGCCGCGGUAACACCGGCGGCCCGAGUGGUGAUCGUGAUUAUUGGGUCUAAAGGGUCCGUAGCCGGUUUGGUCAGUCCUCCGGGAAAUCUGACGGCUCAACCGUUAGGCUUUCGGGGGAUACUGCCAGGCUUGGAACCGGGAGAGGUAAGAGGUACUACAGGGGUAGGAGUGAAAUCUUGUAAUCCCUGUGGGACCACCUGUGGCGAAGGCGUCUUACCAGAACGGGUUCGACGGUGAGGGACGAAAGCUGGGGGCACGAACCGGAUUAGAUACCCGGGUAGUCCCAGCCGUAAACGAUGCUCGCUAGGUGUCAGGCAUGGCGCGACCGUGUCUGGUGCCGCAGGGAAGCCGUGAAGCGAGCCACCUGGGAAGUACGGCCGCAAGGCUGAAACUUAAAGGAAUUGGCGGGGGAGCAC
rnacentral:rRNA from 1 species